rnacentral:rRNA from 1 species
GACGAACGCUGGCGGCGUGCUUAACACAUGCAAGUCGAACGGAAAGGCCCUGCUUUUGUGGGGUGCUCGAGUGGCGAACGGGUGAGUAACACGUGAGUAACCUGCCCUUGACUUUGGGAUAACUUCAGGAAACUGGGGCUAAUACCGGAUAGGAGCUCCUGCUGCAUGGUGGGGGUUGGUAAGAUUCGGCGGUUGGGGAUGGACUCGCGGGUUAUGAGCUUCUUGGGGUGGUAGUUGCUUACCAAGGCUUUGACGGGUAGCCCGCCUGGGAGGGUGGACGGCGACAAUAGGACUAAGGUACGGACCAGACGCGUACGGUACGCAGUGGGGGAGAGCAUGGCACAGUGGGGGGAAGCCUGAUGCAGCGACGCUGGGUGCGGGAUGACGGCCUUCGGGUUGUAAACCGCUUUCGACUGAGAUGAAGAGUGAGUGACGGUAAUGGGUAAAGAAGCCCCGGCUAACUACGUG